rnacentral:RNase_P_RNA from 1 species
CGAGAGGACAAGGCGAUCGCCGGUUCCGCCACGGCGGGGCGGGAGGAAAGUCCGGGCACCGCAGAGCAGGGUGCCGGCUAACGGCCGGCGGGGGCGACCCUAGGGAAAGUGCCACAGAAAUGACACGGCCGAUGGCCCGCCUCGCGGCGCGGCACAGGCAAAGGUGAAAUGGUGCGGUAAGAGCGUACCCGCGACAGCCGGGGAACCGGCGGCGAGGCAAACCCCACCCGGUGCAAGGCCAUAUUGCGGACGUUUGAGGGCGGCUCGUCCGAGUCCGCAGGUUGGCUGCUCGAGACGGCCGGCAACGGCCGUCCUAGAUGAAUGAUCGUCCCUGUUCGGCGCGUUCGGAGGGGACCGCCGGACCGGACAAAACCCGGCUUACCAGUCCUCUCGGGCC